CCUGCUCAAUGCCCGUAAAUAGCCGCUUAUAGUGCUAAGGUAGCAUAAUAAAUUGCCCUCUAAUUAAGGAAUAGAAUGAAUGAGACCAUGAUUUAUCAUCUGUUUUCAAUUUAAUAACUUAAAAUUUUCAUAAAAGUAAAAAGACUUUUACCCCUAAGCUGGACGACAAGACCCUAAUGAACUUCAACUAACUGUUUAACUGGGGCGGUCAAAACCCAAAUCUUUUAUCCCUCCCCCAAUUCAAGCCAUACCAAAGAAUUAAAUACAAGUUACCUUAGGGAUAACAGCGUAAUAGCUUGCUAAAGACCAAAUAAAACACGCUGAUUACGACCUCGAUGUUGAAUUAAUAAAACCUUUAUUAGAAAAAUAAUAAACAGUAAGUCUGUUCGACUUCCUACCUAUUACAU
rnacentral:rRNA from 1 species